GUAGAUGUGUUAGACCAAAUGGGG
rnacentral:piRNA from 1 species